rnacentral:rRNA from 1 species
UACAGAGGUGGCAAGCGUUGUUCGGAAUUACUGGGCGUAAAGGGCGCGUAGGCGGCCUCGUAAGUCCCGUGUGAAAGCCCCCGGCUCAACUGGGGAAUUGCACGGGAAACUGCGGGGCUUGAGUUCGGGAGAGGGAAGCGGAAUUCCGGGUGUAGCGGCGAAAUGCGUAGAUAUCCGGAGGAACACCAGUGGCGAAGGCGGCUUCCUGGGCCGACACUGACGCUGAGGCGCGAAAGCUAGGGGAGCAAACGGG